AAAGGAAUUGACGGGGGCCCGCACAAGCGGUGGAGCAUGUGGUUUAAUUCGAAGCUACGCGAAGAACCUUACCAGGUCUUGACAUCUAGCGCCAAUCCUAGAGAUAGGACGUUCCCUUCGGGGACGCUAAGACAGGUGGUGCAUGGUUGUCGUCAGCUCGUGUCGUGAGAUGUUGGGUUAAGUCCCGCAACGAGCGCAACCCUUAUGAUUAGUUGCCAGCAUUUAGUUGGGCACUCUAAUCAGACUGCCGGUGACAAACCGGAGGAAGGUGGGGAUGACGUCAAAUCAGCAUGCCCCUUAUGACCUGGGCUACACACGUGCUACAAUGGCUAGUACAACGAGUUGCGAACCCGCGAGGGUAAGCUAAUCUCUUAAAGCUAGUCUCAGUUCGGAUUGUAGGCUGCAACUCGCCUACAUGAAGUCGGAAUCGCUAGUAAUCGCGGAUCAGCACGCCGCGGUGAAUACGUUCCCGGGCCUUGUACACACCGCCCGU
rnacentral:rRNA from 1 species